rnacentral:rRNA from 1 species
UACGGGGGGGGCAAGCGUUGUUCGGAAUUACUGGGCGUAAAGGGCCAGUAGGCGGCCAACUAAGUCCGACGUGAAAUCCCCAGGCUCAACUUGGGAACUGCGUCGGAUACUGGAUGGCUUGAAUUCGGGAGAGGGAUGCAGAAUUCCAGGUGUAGCGGUGAAAUGCGUAGAUAUCUGGAGGAACACCGGUGGCGAAGGCGGCAUCCUGGACCGGUAUUGACGCUGAGGCGCGAAAGCCAGGGGAGCAAACGGG